CGAGUGUCUCAUUAGAUUAUCAGCAGUCAUCAAAACCUCCAAAAGAGCUCUGCUAAAUGAUUGUGGCUUAACAGACAAAAGCUGUCCAGCUCUGGCUUCAGUUAUUGGAUCAGAUACCUCUCUGAAAGAGCUGAAUAUGAACAAUAAUAAUCUGCAGGAUUAUGGAGUUAAGAUGCUCUGCACUGGAUUGAAAAAUAUUAAUUGCAAAUUAGAGAUACUGAGACUUUCAGACUGCAGUAUCACUGAAGAAGGUUAUAAAGCUCUGUCUUC